UACGAAGGGUGCAAGCGUUACUCGGAAUUACUGGGCGUAAAGCGUGUGUAGGCGGUCUUGUAAGUCGGGUGUGAAAGCCCAGGGCUCAACCCUGGAAGUGCACUCGAAACUGCAAGGCUAGAGUACCGGAGAGGUUGGUGGAAUUCUCGGUGUAGAGGUGAAAUUCGUAGGUAUCGAGAGGAACACCGGUGGCGAAGGCGGGAUCCUGGGCCAGUACUGACGCUGAGGAGCGAAAGCGUGGGGAGCAAACAGG
rnacentral:rRNA from 1 species